rnacentral:rRNA from 1 species
UGGGGAAUAUUCCGCAAUGGACGAAAGUCUGACGGAGCAACGCCGCGUGAGUGAUGAAGGUUUUCGGACUGUAAAGCUCUGUUGUUUAGGACGAAAGUGCCUGUUGCGAACAGUUACAGGUAUUGACGGUACUGAACGAGGAAGCCACGGCUAACUACGUGCCAGCAGCCGCGGUAAUACGUAGGUGGCAAGCGUUGUCCGGAAUUAUUGGGCGUAAAGAGCAUGUAGGCGGGAAUCUAAGUCUGUUGUGAAAAUGCGGGGCUCAACCCCGUAUUGCGAUGGAAACUGGGUUUCUUGAGUGCAGGAGAGGAAAGGGGAAUUCCCAGUGUAGCGGUGAAAUGCGUAGAUAUUGGGAGGAACACCAGUGGCGAAGGCGCCUUUCUGGACUGUGUCUGACGCUGAGAUGCGAAAGCCAGGGUAGCGAACG